rnacentral:rRNA from 1 species
AGGAUGCUGGAAUGCUUCUAGGCUGAAAGCUCCGGCGCUCAAGGAUGAGUCUGCGACCUAUCAGGCUGUAGUGGGUGUAACGGACCCACUAACCUUCGACGGGUACGGGCCUUGAGAGAGGUUGCCCGGAGUUGGACUCUUAGACACGAGUCCAGGCCCUACGGGGUGCAGCAGGCGCGAAAACUUCACAAUGUGGGAAACCACGAUGAGGGGAUUCCAAGUGCCAGCACACUGUGUUGGCUGUUCAUCUGCCUAAAAAGCUGGUGAAGUAAGGGCCGGGUAAGACGGGUGCCAGCCGCCGCGGUAAUACCCGCGGCCCGAGUGGUGGUCGUUAUUAUUGAGCCUAAAGCGUCCGUAGCCGGUUCAGUAAAUCUCUGGGUAAAUCGGGCAGCUUAACCGUCCGAAUUCCGGAAAGACUGCUGGACUUGGGACCGGGGGAGGUUGGAGGUACUCCUGGGGUAGGGGUGAAAUCCUGUAAUCCUGGGGGGACCACCAGUGGCGAAGGCGUCCAACCAAAACGGCUCCGACGGUAAGGGACGAAGCCCUGGGGCGCAAACGGGAUUAGAUACCCCGGUAGUCCAGGGUGUAAACGCUGCAGGUUUGGUGUUGGGGGUCCUACGAGGGCGCCCAGUGCCGGAGAGAAGUUGUUAAACCUGCCGCUUGGGGAGUACGUCCGCAAGGAUGAAACUUAA